rnacentral:rRNA from 1 species
UACGUAGGGGGCAAGCGUUGUUCGGAAUUACUGGGCGUAAAGCGCGUGUAGGCGGUCCGAUAAGUCGGAAGUGAAAGCCCUCGGCUCAACCGGGGAACUGCUUUCGAUACUGUCGGACUUGAGUACGGGAGGGGAGAGCAGAAUUCCCGGUGUAGCGGUGAAAUGCGUAGAUAUCGGGAGGAAUACCGGUGGCGAAGGCGGCUCUCUGGACCGUGACUGACGCUGAGACGCGAAAGCGUGGGUAG